UGCUUGAAGCCAUUCAAUGCACCAUCCAAGUGCGGAAGCCAGAAACACUUCAUCUUCAGUUAAUUUUUCCCCUUGUCUUAGUAACUGGUAGCUACCAAUGACAGAGAGACCUCUGUUCAACUUUCCUCCAGGUACAUUGUAAUCCAGCAUCCGCUCGACCCAUUGGCGAGAAUCGUCAGUGAACUCGAAAGCAGGGUCGUGAAGGAGCUCAGAUUUCAACAAUGAGUAAACCUCCAAGAAUUUGGACCUGAAUUCACUCAUUUUUCGAUGGGAAAAAGGGGGAGA
rnacentral:misc_RNA from 1 species